GCGGCAAAAGCUCAAAUUUGAAAUCUGGUACCUUUGGUGCCCGAGUUGUAAUUUGGAGAGUACCACUUUGGGACUGUACUUUGCCUAUGUUCCUUGGAACAGGACGUCAUGGAGGGUGAGAAUCCCGUGUGGCGAGGGUGUCAGUUCUUUGUAAAGGGUGCUCGAAGAGUCGAGUUGUUUGGGAAUGCAGCUCUAAGUGGGUGGUAAAUUCCAUCUAAAGCUAAAUACAGGCGAGAGACCGAUAGCGAACAAGUACAGUGAUGGAAAGAUGAAAAGAACUUUGAAAAGAGAGUGAAAAAGUACGUGAAAUUGUUGAAAGGGAAGGGCAUUUGAUCAGACAUGGUGUUUUGCGCCCCUUGCCUCUCGUGGGCUUGGGACUCUCGCAGCUCACUGGGCCAGCAUCGGUUUUGGCGGCCGGAAAAAACCUAGGGAAUGUGGCUCUGCGCCUCGGUGUAGAGUGUUAUAGCCCUGGGGAAUACGGCCAGCCGGGACCGAGGACUGCGAUACUUGUUAUCUAGGAUGCUGGCAUAAUGGUUAUAUGCCGCCCGUCUUGA
rnacentral:rRNA from 1 species